AGCCCAUUGUGCAGCCCUAGUGCGACGUAAAGUAACUACAACAACAACAUUCUCUCCCCUCCCAAUCUUCUGAUUGUUUACUGGUUGCUAGCGUCAAAAGUUCUUGUCUGUGAAAUACGCAGUUUGCCUGACUCUUUUGAAUUGAUCCGUUUAAACGUACUUCUCGAGGAGCGAUUCAGAUGAAGAAGCUUGUGCGGUUGAGAGAGGAGAAAGUUUCUUGCUGCAUGCAUUGCUGAAUUUGAAAGGAUUGCUGAAUGAAUGCUUCUUCAACAUGCUUUUCACCAGGAUCUGAAACACAAGUGCAGAAGAACCCAGGAAGGAAAAAACAUUCGAGUAUAAUGGUUAUUUCAAAAGAAGGUGAACACAAUAAUAAGUACAG